rnacentral:rRNA from 1 species
ACGGGAGGCAGCAGUGGGGAAUAUUGCGCAAUGGGGGAAACCCUGACGCAGCAACGCCGCGUGCAGGAAGAAGGUCUUCGGAUUGUAAACUGUUGUCGCAAGGGAAGAAGAAAGUGACGGUACCUUGUGAGAAAGUCACGGCUAACUACGUGCCAGCAGCCGCGGUAAUACGUAGGUGACAAGCGUUGUCCGGAUUUACUGGGUGUAAAGGGCGCGUAGGCGGGCUAGCAAGUCAGGAGUGAAAUACCGGGGCUCAACUCCGGAGCUGCUUUUGAAACUGUUAGUCUUGAGUAUCGGAGAGGAAAGCGGAAUUCCCAGUGUAGCGGUGAAAUGCGUAGAUAUUGGGAGGAACACCAGUGGCGAAGGCGGCUUUCUGGACGACAACUGACGCUGAGGCGCGAAAGUGUGGGGAGCAAACAGGAUUAGAUACCCUGGUA